CCUACGGGGGGCAGCAGUAAGGAAUAUUGGUCAAUGGACGCAAGUCUGAACCAGCCAUGCCGCGUGGAGGAUGAAGGUCCUCUGGAUUGUAAACUUCUUUUAUUUGGGAAGAAACUCCCGAUUUCCAUCGGGAUUGACGGUACCAGAUGAAUAAGCACCGUCUAACUCCGUGCCAGCAGCCGCUGUCAUACGGAGGGUGCAAGCGUUAUCCGGAUUCACUGGGUUUAGGUGGGCAGGAGAGUCAGUGGUAAAAUCUCCGGGCUUAACCCGGAAACUGCCAUGGAUACUAUUUGUCUUGAAUACUCUGGAGGUGAGCGGAAUAUGUCAUGUAGCGGUGAAAUGCUUAGAUAUGACAUAGAACACCCAUUGCGAAGGCAGCUCACUACGGAAAUAUUGACGCUGAGGCACGAAAGCGUGGGGAUCAAACAGGAUUAGAUACCCGAGUAGUC
rnacentral:rRNA from 1 species